AAAGGGAGCCCACUGAUUGCAUCAUACGCAGUGCACCUGCAGACUCCUGCAGACAGAUGCCGCAGGCUGAAAGGAAAGGUCCUGUUUAGAGAUACAGUAAGCAGUGGUUCAAAAAACAUGAAUGAGGCCAGACGCAGUUGCUCACGCCUGUCAUCCCAGCACUUUGAGGGGCUGAGGCAGGUGGAUCGCCUGAGGUCAGGAGCUUGAGACCAGCCUGGCCAACAUGGUGAAACCCCGUCUCUACUAAAAAAAAAAAAAAAAAAAAAAAAAAAAAUUAACUGGGCAUGGUGGCACACGCCUGUUGGCAGGCUGAGGCAGGAGAAUCACUUGAACCUGGGAGGUGGAGGUUGCACUGAGCAGAGAUCAUGCUAUUGCACUCCAGCCUGAGUGACAGAGUGAGACUCUGUCACAAACAAAAACAAGCAGGAACUGGGAUUUUGAUCAUGUUCUAAAAGAUCUGUUACAGGAGGCAGAGGUUGCAGUGAGCCAAGAUCGCGCCACUGCACUCCAGCCUAGGUGACAGAGGAAGACUCCCUCUCAAAAACAAAAACGAUAACAAAAAGAAACAACAACAACAACAAAAAAAUAAAAAUAAAAAUAAAAGACCUGUUACAGCGGAGGAGUGAAAUACACAUGGGCCAUGGCCAUCAAAACACACGCUGUGAUCCCACUGCUCAAUCUGUGCAUAAAGGGACCGGGUGCAGCGGCGGAAGCUCACAGAGAGGAGGUGUCCUCUUGCACAGAGUCCCUGAGCAAAAAAGGGCCUUCGAGUUUCCUUUCCAGAAGGGCUUCUGCUUCCUAACAGUCCCUCACUCCCCCGUCACAGCGAUUCCCUGUAAUCUGAAGCAAAGCGGGCAUGAGGCAGUGUGUGCAAUCAGUCUGUGUGUGGACUUUCCAAGCUCCCCGUCUGCUAACAUGGGCAAGGCUGUCUCCAGAUACUGAUGCUACUUCUGCCUCCGUGACUGCAAACACAGGGCGCUUGGAUUCUCUUCUGAGUCACAGUCAGCUUGUGGAAUUGCAGAACUGUCCCCACUUAUUUCAGCAACUCCAAGAGCUAACCUUGGCCCCAGUUUCUUUAAGGGAUUAACCUGUGCAGUAGCUUCAAAUGUAUUUAUUUGUACAUUGGGAGGGGGAUCUAUCCCUUCUUCAAUACCAAGCCAUCUUCUCCCUCUAAGCCUAUCUUCUUUGUCUUCUGUAGAAACCAAAGAUGGAUCAAAUGUGUCAGAAAUGUUGAAUGUGGGCUCACAGGAGCUGUAUGCUGUUUAGUCAGAUGCCAUUUUGGGGCUAAACCUGAGCUCACUGCAACCUCUGCUUCUGGGCUCAAGCUAUCCUCCUGCCUCAACCUCCCAAGUAGCUAGGACUACAGGUAUGCACCCACCAUGCCCGGCUAAUUUUUUUUUCCUUUUUUUGAGACAGAGUUUCACUCUUGUUGCCCAGGCUGGAGUGCAAUGAUGUGAUCUCGGCUCACUGCAACCUCCGCCUCCUGGGUUCAAGCGAUUCUUCUGCCUCAGCCUCCUGAGUAGCUGGGAUUAUAGGCAUGUGCCACCACACCCAGCUAAUUUUGUAUUUUUAGUAGAGACAGGGCUUCUCCAUGUUGGUCAGGCUGGUUUUGACCUCCCGACCUCAGGUAAUCCACCCGCCUCAGCCUCCCAAAGUGCUGGGUUUACAGGUGUGAGCCACCACACCUGGCCUAAUUUUUGUAUUUUUGCAGACGGCAUCUCACUAUGUUGCUCAGGCUGGUCAUGAACUCCUGAGCUCAAGUGAUCCCCCCACCUGGCCUUGCGAAGUGCUGGGAUUACAUGUGUGAGCCACCACGUCGGGAUUACAGGUGUGAGCCACCGCGCCGGGAUUAUGGGCAUGAGCCACUGCGCCGGCCUCUAGUAAACAUUUUAUCAGUAUCCAGUGAAUUCUGGGUCUUUGUGGAACAGGAAUGUUUGUUCCUCCCACCUGUGGACCAUGUGGAGAGUAGGAAUCUCUUCAUGAAGUCUUGUUCCUGGGGUAACACAAGAAUCAUUGUCCUCUUUCAGUGCUUGUUUCAAUAAUCUGAGAGAUUUUGGUGGCACCAUUUUGGUGUCUCCUUGAAGAACUCUUGGAAGGGCUUAAUCCCAGUUGUAAGGGAAAAUGUUUUUUCUCUUAAGGGACUGCUUUGUGGCUGAGCUGAGUCUCCCUGUGUGGAUGCUUUUCUCUUUGACAGACAAACCGCCCUUGGCUUUCAUGUCUAUAUUUUCCCUAUGGCUUCCUCCCUUGUGACUGAAGCGAUUCUGACACCUGUAUUUGAAGUCGUUCCAUACUUUCCCCACUCUUUCCAUUGGCUAUAAAAUCAUCUGGGGUGUGCAGAGCAGCCUUAUGCAGGGUACCUGCGGCCAGGCAGGACAGGCCCGGGCGGCACAGUUCCCCGACAGGUGGAGGAUGGCCCGGACGGCACAGUUCCCCGACAGGUGGAGGAUGCCUGCUCUCUGGUGUGUUCUGUCCCCUCCGACUGCACAGCCCACCCCCUGUCCCCCUGCCACGGCCAGCCCUUCCUCUUCACCUGUUUCCCCCGUCUCCCCCCACCCCAGCCAGCCCUUCCUCUUCACCUGUUUCCCCUCCCCCUCCCCCCACCCCUGCCAGCCCUUCCUCUUCACCUGUUUCCCCCCUCUCCCCUGAUCCCGGCCAGCCCUUCCUCUUCACCUGUUUCCCCCAUCUCCCCCCACCCCAGCCAGCCCUUCCUCUUCACCUGUUUCCCCCCUACUCCCCCCACCCCUGCCAGCCCUUCCUCUUCACCUGUUUCCCCUCCCCCUCCCCCCACCCCUGCCAGCCCUUCCUCUUCACCUGUUUUCCCCCUCUCCCCCCACCCCAGCCAGCCCUUCCUCUUCACCUGUUUCCCCUCCCCCUCCCCCCACCCCUGCCAGCCCUUCCUCUUCACCUGUUUCCCCCCUCUCCCCUGAUCCCGGCCAGCCCUUCCUCUUCACCUGUUUCCCCCAUCUCCCCCCACCCCAGCCAGCCCUUCCUCUUCACCUGUUUCCCCCCUACUCCCCCCACCCCUGCCAGCCCUUCCUCUUCACCUGUUUCCCCUCCCCCUCCCCCCACCCCUGCCAGCCCUUCCUCUUCACCUGUUUUCCCCCUCUCCCCCCACCCCUGCCAGCCCUUCCUCUUCACCUGUUUCCCCUCUCCUCCCCAGACCCCUGCCAGCCCUUCCUCUUCACCUGUUUCCCCUCCCUGCACCCCAGACAGCCCUUCCUCUUCACCUGUUUCCCCUCCCUGCACCCCAGACAGCCCUUCCUCUUCACCUGUUUCUCCCCCUCCCCCCACCCCAGCCAGCCCUUCCUCUUUACCUGUUUCCCCUCCCCUCCCCCCACCCCAGACAGCCCUUCCUAUUCACCUGUUUCCCCGCCUCCCCCGUCUGGAAUGGCUAAAUACACUCUUUGGUGAAGUGCUGGGUCAGGCCUCUUGUCUAUUUUUCCUAUUGUGUUAAUGAUCAUUUUUCUUGCUGCUUCAUAAAAUUUCUUUAAAUAAUAAAAUGGAAAUGACUGAAAAUGGCUAUUUUUGGUUACAUAUAUUACAAAUAUUUUAUUCCACUUUCUAACUUGCCUUUUCCUUUUCUUCCUGGAAUCUUUUGAUGAAUAGAAUCUCUUAUCUUCUUCCCAUUUUGAAAGCUGUGGUAAAAUAGGCUGGGCAUGGUGGCUCGUGCCUGUAAUCCCAGCACUUUGAGAGGCCGAGGUGGGCUAAUCAUUUGAGGUCAGGAGUUCGAGACCAGCCUGGCCAACAUGGCGAAACCCCAUCUCUACUAAAAAUACAAAAAUUAGCCCGGCGUGGUGACCCACGCCUGUAAUCCCAGCAACCCAGGAGGCUGAGGCAGGAUAAAUGCUUGAACCCAGGAGGUGGAGGUUGCAGUGAGCUGAGAUCGCGCCACUGCACUCCGGUCUGGAUGACAAAGCAAGACUCCUUCUCAAACAAACAAACAAAAAAUUGUGGUAAAACAGACAUAACAUAAAAUUUACCAUCUUAACCCUUUUUAAGUGUAAAGCUUAGUUGCAUUAAGUAAAUUUAUAAUACUGUGCGGCCAUUGCCACCAAGCAUCUUCAGAACUCUUUCCACCUUGUAAAGCUGAAGCUGUACACUCAUUCAACAACCUCCCACGAUCCCCUUCCAGCUCCUGCAACCACCUUUCCACUCUGUCACCAUGAAUUGGACUGCUCUAGGCCCCUCACGUAAGUAGAAUCCUAAAGCAUCUGCCUUUAUGUGACUGGUUUGUGUCGCUUAGCACAGUGUCCUUAAGAUCCGUCCGCCCUGUAGCAUGUGUCAGAAUUGCGUUCCUUUUUUUUUUUUUUUUUUGACGGAGUCUUGCUCUGUCGCCCAGGCUAGAGUGCAGUGGCGUGAUCUCGGCUCACUGCAAGCUCCACCUCCUGGGUUCACCCCAUUCUCCUGCCUCAGCCUCCGGAGUAGCUGGGACUACAGGCGCCCGCCACCACGCCCGGCGAAUUUGUUGUAUUUUUAGUAGAGAUGGGGUUUCACCGUGUUAGCCAGGAUGGUCUUGAUCUCCUGACCUCGUGAUCCACCCAUCUUGGCCUCCCAAAGUGCUGGGAUUACAGGCAUGAGCCACUGCACCCAGCUAGAAUUGUGUUCCUUUUUAAGGCUGAAUAAUAUUCCGUGGUUCGUAUAUACCACAUUUUGCUUGUCCGUUCACCUGUGGGUGGACACUUGGGUUGCUUCUGUUUCAGUGAUUGUGAAUAAUGCUGUUAGGAACACGGGUAUGAAAAUAUUUCUUAGAGACCCUGCUUUCAAUUCUUUUGCGUAUAUGCC
rnacentral:lncRNA from 1 species